AGUGUCUCGAGCAUUUUUGUGUACGAGCGAGGACAGCAGAUUGACAUCCAUCCAUUGAGCAGCGGAACGUGUGAACGGCAGUCACCAUCAUGGCUGAUGGAGCGGACCAGGGAGGAGAUCCAGUGGCCUCGACAACGAGGACAGACGACGCUCCUCCAAUGUCUUCGAUGAUGGAGCUCCUGGAAAGGUGUGAUGAUUCGCAGCUGC